CCUACGGGUGGCAGCAGUGAGGAAUAUUGGUCAAUGGACGAGAGUCUGAACCAGCCAAGUAGCGUGAAGGAUGACUGCCCUAUGGGUUGUAAACUUCUUUUAUAUGGGAAUAAAAUGUUCCACGUGUGGGAUUUUGUAUGUACCAUAUGAAUAAGGAUCGGCUAACUCCGUGCCAGCAGCCGCGGUAAUACGGAGGAUCCGAGCGUUAUCCGGAUUUAUUGGGUUUAAAGGGAGCGUAGGUGGAUUGUUAAGUCAGUUGUGAAAGUUCGCGGCUCAACCGUAAAAUUGCAGUUGAAACUGGCAGUCUUGAGUACAGUAGAGGUGAGCGGAAUUCGUGGUGUAGCGGUGAAAUGCUUAGAUAUCACGAAGAACUCCGAUGGCGAAGGCAGUUCACUGGACUGCAACUGACACUGAGGCUCGAAAGUGUGGGUAUCAAACAGGAUUAGAUACCCGAGUAGUC
rnacentral:rRNA from 1 species